rnacentral:rRNA from 1 species
AUUGAACGCUGGCGGCAUGCUUUACACAUGCAAGUCGAACGGUAACAGGCCGCAAGGUGCUGACGAGUGGCGAACGGGUGAGUAAUGCAUCGGAACGUGCCCAGUCGUGGGGGAUAACGCAGCGAAAGCUGUGCUAAUACCGCAUACGAUCUAUGGAUGAAAGCGGGGGACCGUAAGGCCUCGCGCGAUUGGAGCGGCCGAUGUCAGAUUAGGUAGUUGGUGGGGUAAAGGCUCACCAAGCCAACGAUCUGUAGCUGGUCUGAGAGGACGACCAGCCACACUGGGACUGAGACACGGCCCAGACUCCUACGGGAGGCAGCAGUGGGGAAUUUUGGACAAUGGGCGCAAGCCUGAUUCAGCAAUGCCGCGUGCAGGAAGAAGGCCUUCGGGUUGUAAACUGCUUUUGUACGGAACGAAAAGGUUUGGGUUAAUACCCUGGGCCGAUGACGGUACCGUAAGAAUAAGCACCGGCUAACUACGUGCCAGCCGCCGCUGUAAUAC